AGAGCGAACGCUGGCGGCAGGCUUAACACAUGCAAGUCGAGCGGGCGUAGCAAUACGUCAGCGGCAGACGGGUGAGUAACGCGUGGGAACAUACCUUUUGGUUCGGAACAACACAGGGAAACUUGUGCUAAUACCGGAUAAGCCCUUACGGGGAAAGAUUUAUCGCCGAAAGAUUGGCCCGCGUCUGAUUAGCUAGUUGGUGAGGUAACGGCUCACCAAGGCGACGAUCAGUAGCUGGUCUGAGAGGAUGAUCAGCCACAUUGGGACUGAGACACGGCCCAAACUCCUACGGGAGGCAGCAGUGGGGAAUAUUGGACAAUGGGCGCAAAGCCUGAUCCAGCCAUGCCGCGUGAGUGAUGAAGGCCCUAGGGUUGUAAAGCUCUUUUGUGCGGGAAGAUAAUGACGGUACCGCAAGAAUAAGCCCGGCUAACUUCGCGCCAGCAGCCGC
rnacentral:rRNA from 1 species